AGAGCGGACAUCUCAUUUCCCCCAACAUCUGCUCACGCAGCGGGCUCUUGCCUCCCGGAAGCUGGCGGGUGGGCUCGCGCGACUGACACGGGGUGGAUUUAAACCAACGGCGAGAUUAUUGGCGCGGCCAGACCGCGCUCGCGCUGCCAACUGUGAGCGCGGGGCGGAGAGGCGAGCCGCUGUUUGUUCCCCGCCAGGCGCCUCGGAUGCUCGUCCACUCUGGGCCACGUCGCAGUGUUCCAGAUCAGGCCACAGGCAGGCGGGCAGCGAAAGGCCAAUUUGGCACCGAGGAACAAGGAGAUAAAUGUGCGCUUUGAGCUAUGGUUGGAAUUUGUUUCUCCCGCGCGGAUGAAUACGUUUGCGGGGCAGAGGACUAAGCCGCCAUCUUGGCUUAGCGCGCGCGCCGCAGCCGAACUCUACUGUAUAUCCAUCACGUGUAAUGGUGCGUGGAGGUGGCCGGUCCGUGACUAAUAUGCUGGACGUGUCCACUCGGUGUCCACAUCUUUGUCACGCCGCUUCAGAACAAAUAUACCGACACCGCGGUUCCGCUCCACCGCUUCCGUGUUGCGCGCGCAGAGGGGACAGCUGUUCCGCCUCCUCCGUCCACGUUUCCCUCUCGUUUUCGGCGAUUCUGAGUUUCGGUCCGCGUGGACGGGAACGCGGAGCAGGCUCCAACACGCAUCUCGUCGGGGUUCAGAAGCAUCUCCACAUUUGACUACUUGCCAAUUUGUUUCUAGUUGCUGUUCUACAAGCACGAAACAAAUAGCUGUGCUCACAAACGCCUUUGUUGUCACUUCAGUCCGCGGGUAGUUUAAUUUCACCGGUGAGAGUUAACUGGGAGCGGAGCGCAGACAGAAGUGUCGUUGCCAUGGUAACCUGCCGUUUUUCAUAUGCCGCACACUGAUUUAAGACGGCGGUGAAACUGUUCCCUGGAAUGUGUUUAAAGUUUAGCCGACACCUGCCAGAGAAAAAGCAAACAAAAACAAACCGCGGUUCAAACUUCUUUUUAUUAUUAUUCUGUGAACGCCUCACUUAAAACUAUCUCCUCUUAAAAGCAUCAGCGUCUAAAACUCCAGACGUGCCGUUUUCAAAAAACGCGAAUUUUCAAGGUGGACCAUACGAGACACAUUGUGCAGAGAACGACACGCCGCUGUGAUGAUUGGAGCCACAUGGGCUCAGAGAGACUUUGUAAAACCGUCACCUAACACAAUCCGCCGCUGCCGUUACGCAAGAAAAGAAGCCGUUCAACAUUUCCGCAGGUGUCACACGGAUUGACAGAUGGUGGAAACAUGUUCUGGGAAGAGAUGAGCUCACGUUUCUGCUUGUUAUUAGGCAGAAACAGACGGGUUGUCAGCGCCAAAGAAGGAAAAAAAACGAGGACGCGUGCACCUGAACGCAUCAUCUUCCAGGACGUUUGUGAGACGAGUUAUUCAGGCCUUUUCUUUCCAUCACCCACUUCUUCUUCUUUGUUAAACCUCACCUCCCAGUCUCCAUCUCGCCACACGUGGAGCAGCUCUGCUCGGUGCAGACUGUAGCAUGACUUUUGAUGCACUUUAGGGGUUGAGUGAGUGGACCAGGAGGCCUUUCCUCAGUUUUUUCCCCUGCGCCUGAGUUCUAUCGCUGCUGAGGCAGAGGUCUUCACUGCUGGAAGACUUCUGAGAAUGUGGAGUGGAUGUCUUAAUAAACAGCGUAUGUGUUUUAUACAGAUUUGUCUUUUUUUUUUUUUCAA